rnacentral:rRNA from 1 species
GAUGAACGCUGGCGGCGUGCCUAAUACAUGCAAGUCGAGCGAACGGACGUGAAGCUUGCUUCUCUGAUGUUAGCGGCGGACGGGUGAGUAACACGUGGAUAACCUACCUAUAAGACUGGGAUAACUUCGGGAAACCGGAGCUAAUACCGGAUAAUAUUUUGUACCGCAUGGUUCAAAAGUGAAAGACGGUCUUGCUGUCACUUAUAGAUGGAUCCGCGCUGCAUUAGCUAGUUGGUAAGGUAACGGCUUACCAAGGCAACGAUGCAUAGCCGACCUGAGAGGGUGAUCGGCCACACUGGAACUGAGACACGGUCCAGACUCCUACGGGAGGCAGCAGUAGGGAAUCUUCCGCAAUGGGCGAAAGCCUGACGGAGCAACGCCGCGUGAGUGAUGAAGGUCUUCGGAUCGUAAAACUCUGUUAUUAGGGAAGAACAUAUGUGUAAGUAACUGUGCACAUCUUGACGGUACCUAAUCAGAAAGCCACGGCUAACUACGUG